UGUUGUCAUUCCUUUCGGUAGGCUCCGCUCCCCCGGAUUCCACCGAAUAUCCGUCUGAUGGAUAUUGCCACUCCUCUAAGCAACAAGGCAAGCAACCAUUUUUUAUCAUCCCGAUAAAUCCCAUUUUCUUGCUCCUGCACUUACUUAUUGCAUUAGAAUCAAAUGCUUCAAAUGCUUUUGACACGUUAGUUGAACCCACUUCAUUGCAUGACCUAUCCUUGUCACGGUAAAUAGCUGAACCUUGCAACCUAGCAUACCUGGUAGUUUCUUGAGCCAUGAUGUGCCUUAUCCUGCUAUGCAUGCUAUGCUUAGAGUUGUGUAUGGUCUGUCAUCUGGGAGAUGAACAGAAUUGUGAGAAUGUGUUCGGUAAGCAAAGGUUGUGUGU
rnacentral:lncRNA from 1 species